rnacentral:rRNA from 1 species
GAUGAACGCUGGCGGCGUGCCUAAUACAUGCAAGUCGAGCGAACGGACGAGAAGCUUGCUUCUCUGAUGUUAGCGGCGGACGGGUGAGUAACACGUGGAUAACCUACCUAUAAGACUGGGAUAACUUCGGGAAACCGGAGCUAAUACCGGAUGAUAUUUUGAACCGCAUGGUUCAAAAGUGAAAGACGGUCUUGCUGUCACUUAUAGAUGGAUCCGCGCUGCAUUAGCUAGUUGGUAAGGUAACGGCUUACCAAGGCAACGAUGCAUAGCCGACCUGAGAGGGAGAUCGGCCACACUGGAACUGAGACACGGUCCAGACUCCUACGGGAGGCAGCAGUAGGGAAUCUUCCGCAAUGGGCGAAAGCCUGACGGAGCAACGCCGCGUGAGUGAUGAAGGUCUUCGGAUCGUAAAACUCUGUUAUUAGGGAAGAACAUAUGUGUAAGUAACUGUGCACAUCUUGACGGUACCUAAUCAGAAAGCCACGGCUAACUACGUG